AGAAGUAGAGGGAGAAGAAGAAGAGGGAAAAGAAGAGAGGAAGAAGAGGGAGAAGAGAAGAAAAAGAAGAAGUAGAAGAGAGGGAAGAUGGAGAGGAGGAAGAGAGGCAGCUGCAGCAGCUAGGGCUGCAGCACCUCUGUUUUCCGCAGGUGGAAACAGAGGAGAGGAUGUGUGGGGCGUUGAGGAAGAAGAAGAAGAGAGGAGGAUAGCUGCGGCAAGGCUGCAGCGAGGAGGUGUGUGGCCUUGGGGAGGAAAAGGGAAAGAGGAGAAGAAGAGAAGGAGAAGAAGAGGGAAAAGAGAGGGAAGAGGGAGAGGAGCGAAAGGUGGCAGCAGCUAGGGCUGCAGCACCUCUGUUUCCUGCAGGUGGAAACAGAGGAGAGGUGUGGGGCGUUCGAAGAGGAGAAGAAGAAGAAGAGGAAGAGAAGAAGAAGAGGAAGCAGGAGAAGAGGUUGUGAUGCCUCUGUUCCUGCAGAGGAAACAGAGGAGAGGGUGUGUGUGACGCCGGGGAGGAGGAGGGAAGAAGAAGAGGAGAAGAAGAGAAGGGAAAGGAGGAGCUGCGGCUGCGGCGGUGGCAGCUUCAGCUGGAAGAGAAGGAGAAGAAGAGAAGGUGAGGAAGAAGAGAAGAAGAAGAAAGGAAGGAGAAGGAGAAGAAGAGAAGGGAAAGGAGGAGCUGCGGCUGCGGCGGUGGCAGCUUCAGCUGGAAGAGAAGGAGAAGAAGAGAAGGUGAGGAAGAAGAGAAGAAGAAGAAAGGAAGGAGAAGGAGAAGAAGAGGGAAAAGAGAGGGAAGAGGGAGAGGAGCGAGAGGUGGCUGCAGCACCUCUGUUUCCUGCAGGUGGAAACAGAGGAGAGGUGUGGGGCGUUCGAAGAGGAGAAGGGAAAGAAGUAGCUGCGGCUGCGGCAGUGGCAGCUGCAGCUAUGGCAGGGAAAGAGGAAGAGAAAGGAAGAAGGGAAGGAGAGGAAGAAGAGAAGGGAAAGAAGGGGCUGCGGCUGCGGCGAUGGCAGCUGCAGUUGGAAGAGAAGAAGGAGAGGAAGAUGAGCAGGGGAGGAAGAAGAGGUUGUGGCCGCGGCUGAGGCUGCGACUGCAGCAGUGCAGCUGGGAAAGAAGAGAAGGAAAGGAAGAAGAAAAGAAAGGAAAAGGGAAGAAGAGAGGAAGAGGAGAAGGAGAGGCAGCUGUGGCAGUGGCAGCUGCAGCUGGAAGAGAAGGAGAGGAAAUAGAGCAGGGGAGAAAGAAGAGGCUGCGGCUGUGGUGGCUGCGGCCAUGGUUGCGACGGCGGCAGUUGCAGCUGGGAAAGAAAAGAAAGGAAAGGGGGAAAAAGGGGCUGCGGACGGGAUUGCGGCCGCAGCAGCAGCGACUGCGUAUACAGCAGUUAUGUCUGCGAGAGAAGGGAGGAAGGAAGGUAGUGCGGUGGAAGGGGCUGCGAUUGUGGCAGCGGCAGUGGCGACGGUUGUGGCAGCUGCGUUUGGGAAAGAAAAAGAAGGAAUGAGAGUACUAGAGAGCAGGUGACUGUGCCUCGAUGUUCGACAUGUGGUGUAGUUGCGAAGAAAGAAAGAAAACGAGAGCACAAAACGAAACAGAGAGAGGACACGGAGGAAAAGUAGAAGGAUUUGAGCUGACACCUUCUUUGGAUCUUCGGAUCGAAAUCUUUGAAAGGCAAGUUCCCUGAUCGUUCCUCCUGUAAUUGUUCUAAUCUUUCCUAUUGCAAGUUUCCCGCUUGUUUCGAUCCUUUCAAUUGCAAAUGUUUCGAUCCUUUCUAUUGCAAGUUCCCUGAUCGUUUCUCCUAUAAUUGCUCUGAUAUGUCUUAUUGCAAGUAUCCUGAUCUUUCCUCACUGCCAUUUUUAUCUCUACAUUUGCUUUGAAUAUGAGGAACUUUGAAUUGUUCUAGCCUUGCAUUUGUUAUAUCUCCUGUUUAGACGUAACGAUUCGAAUCUGUUCAACUUUUGAGAUUCUGACCUUUUGAUACCGAGCUGCCUAUUAGUCUUUGUUGGAAACUCUGAUUUGUUCAAAACUGAUUUCAUUGGAAACUAGACUCGUAGACCUUUCUUUGAUAUAUGGAUUGAAAGAUUUGGAAUCCAAACACCUGUCCAGUUAUCUGUUGAAUCUGACAUUAUGAAUUCUGCCAACAGAGAUUUUGUUCUACGAAUCUUGCUUACCAAAUUAUUUGUAACUCUCUCUGUUGGACAAUUCAAUUCAUAUGAAGCCUGUCUUAUCUGAAAGUAUCAUCCAAUUAUUAUUUCUGAGUAAAUUGGAGCACGAUUGAUAGUUUGAAUCAUUUGUUCAAUGUGCCUUCUGUUUUUUGCUAGAAAUCGAGCUUUGGUCGAUUUCUCAUAUUCUGGUUUCAUUCCUUUGGAAAUUGAUAUCCUUUAGCUUUCUCAUUCAAUUGAGCUUUAUAUUACUGCUUUGAAUUCUUGUAUGCUCUUGUCCUUAAAAUUAUUGUAUUCUUGAAAACUGUUGUGUAACGUUUAUGCUAUAUCGUAUUGACUCAUAUAGGCACAUGUAUAUCCUAUUGUUCCGCAUUUGCUUUCGAUAUGUGCCUAUUCCAGUUUCAUUCCUUUGGACAUUGAAUUCAUCAAAUCUUCUUAUUGAAUUGAGUUAUAUGUGAUUGCUUGGAUUCCAUAUGUGCCCUUGCUUUCAAUUCCUUUCAAAUCUGAAUAUACUUGUGAAAGAUUAUUGCUUACUUCGGAUUGACUCGUAAAGGCACAUGUACGCUUUGUUGUUCCGCGUGUGCUUUCGAUAUGUCCCAAUUUAUUGUUGAAACUGCCCUUUUGUACUCUGGUGUGUGGGAUUGUCUGGACCUUUGCCAGAAAUGGUAAAGGGUAUGCGUUGAUUUGCCCGCUUUGUGGGGUCCCGCUUUGUGGGAUAUUCUGGUAUGCGCUUAUUUGCCCGCUUUAUGGGGUCCCGCUUUGUGGGAUAUUGCUUAGAGCCUGCGAUGCUCUGCCGGCCCCCUUUGACUUCACCUAGACGUGGGUGGAUGGAGCUCCCAAACGUGGGAGACUUUUGUCAGGUGGUCAUUCAGAAAUGGAUGAAUCACAUUCUGACUGAGAUCCCACUACACCUUCUGUAUGUUUGAUAUGAUAUCCAGAGCUUUGGUUAUGUGUUUCUGUACAUGCUUUGGAUAAGAUUGAUAUGUUUACAACGUCAAAGACGACGUUUGAGCUUUUGUACGAUAUUUGUUUUUGUUAUGCUCUGAAAUGCUUCAUUCACUGAUAAUAUGCUUCGAAAUGUUCCAUAUAUCGUUGAUAUGCUCCGGAACAUUUCAUCUGCCAUUGAUAUGCUCCAAUUACUCUGUGCUCCAUUUGCUAUGAACUGAUAUGUUCUGAAAUGUCCUAUCUGCCAUUGAUAUGUUCCAAUUACUCUAUGCUCCAUUCGUUACGGAUCAAAUAUGUUUUUAAUGACAUGAUACGUAUGAUUUGGUAUCUAUUGAGAUGGUAUCCUUGAGAAUUCUUGUAUUCUGCCUUGCAUUAUGAUACCUUACUCGUUUGAAACCGUUCCUUUUGUUCUGAAUAUGCUUUGUCACUUGCUGAGCCGUUUUUGGCUCACUCCAUUGUUAUAUAAAUCUUUCAGGUCAGCUUGUCACUCUUCGAGAUGUUGAUUUGGGCUGAGGCAAUGGAUAGCUAUUCAGAAUUAUGGGCAAGUUUGGGUGGUUAUUAUGAUAUUGUUGUAUAAGUAUGUUUUGUAUGUAAUGAAAUGUUGUCGAUGAAUCGAAAUGGAUAUACUGUGUAAAAGUGUUAGAAGAUCUCUCUUAUUUGGAAUUUCGGAAUGUUAAGUCUAAUUUAUGACGAUAUGAACUUGUGGUGAAUAGUUGGAGUUCUGAUUGUAUAAUUUAUUUAGCUUGUGGAUUUAUAAAUGUUGUUCAUGUUUGUCAAGUUGGCUUGGGUUGCCAUAAAUGUGAAUUAUCGAGUGAUGUGAUAUAUGAUUUUAAAAUGCACAGGUUUUAUGGAUGUGAAUUUGAUUGAAUGUUUUUCAGUGUCCUCAAACGUUAGUUUGGAUCCUGGAUUGGUCUGUGAUGAAAAUUGUUUUAAAAUCAUGGAUAUAUUUGAGGGGCGUGACAGAGGUGGUAUCAGAGCAUGGUUUGAGGAUUACUGAAAUAUUUGAUAUGUUGACGUGCAAAAUAUAUUGAGGUCUAGUGAACUAUAGUGAUUGGUGGAAAUUUUCUUUGAUAUAUUUUAGGAAUCUGGGAUGAUGAGGACAUUUGGUCCUCCUAUUUCAUUUGUUUCUGAUUAAUUAAGUGGGAUGAAAGGGGUAAUCGGGGAUAUUGAAUCAGAGUGGCGCAGCGGAAGCAUGGUGGACCUAAUUUCAUUGGUGGUAGAAAAAUGAAUGAUGCAAACAGAGAAGAUAUAUGAUGUACAAAAUUGUUCUGAUACUCGAAAGAUUUCUUUUGCCACGUUAUAUUGGAAGUAAAGACUUAUUAUUGAUGGCAACAAUGAAAAGAAUUUUUGAAGAUCAAUGGCAAGAAUGACAAGGACAAGUUUACCAAUAAGAAUAUGAUUAGAAACGAAUCAGAAAAUGAUAACAAGAGGGUCAAGAUAUUUGGUUUUGAAAUGGGAAGUCACCACAAAAGACUCAAUCACGUGUGAAUUGUAAGUUAAAUUAUGAAACAAGUUUGUGUUUUCAAAUGACUGGAGUCUAUUUUGUUUGUGGAAGGUUGGAUCAUAAAAUAAAAGACUGCCCCUUGAACAAGAAGAAAGAGUCACUGCCUCAUAAAUCAUCAGCCCAUGUCAGAGUGUAUGCUAUCACUGAAUAUGAUUCUAAAACUUCUGAAUUAGUAGUCGAAAGUAUUAUGUAUGUUUAUGAAAGAAUGUAAAUAUUUGUUUGACCAUGGGUCCUAUCUACGAUUUGAUUCAUAAUAUUUUGCUUAUCACUUGGGCAAUCAACUUAGACCACUGGAUUAUAUGCUAUAAGUAAAUAUGACUAUCGAGGAUUCUUUGAUAACAAACUUGAAUCUGGUCCUCUUGUCUGAUUUUUAUUGGAGAACUUGAACUUUUGCUGAUUUAGUUCUCCUAGAGAUUUGGAGUUUUGAUAUUAUACUUGGUAUGGAUUGGCUAUCUUCCUAUCAUACCAGUACGGAUUGGUAUAUAACCAAUGAUCACUUUUUGCAUAUUUGAUCAGCCGAUCUUUUAUUUUGAGAGUAUUGGACAUUAUUUAUCUCCUUGCCUAAUGUAUCCCAGGAUGACUUGUUUGGAUUAUCUCCAAAUGUGAUCUUGCUUUUGAUUUGGUCCUUGGGACAAUCCCAAUAUCUAAGCCUCUCUACAGAAAGAUAUCAUUUGAGUAAGUGGAAUUGGAAAAGCAACUACAAGUAUUAUUAAAUGAGGAUUUUAUUUGGCUUAAUAUUUCAUCAUGGGGUGCUCCGGUGUUAGUUAAAAAGAUAUAUGGAACAUUGAGGCUUUGUAAUGAUUAUAGACAGUUGAAUUAGGUGACCAUUAAAAAUGAGUAUUUUCUGGAGUAACGACUUGCUUGAUUAACUGUAGGGUGCGCAAGUACUUUUAGAAAUUGAUUGAAGGUCGGGUUACCGUCUAUUGAGGAUCAAGGAGGAGAAUAUUUUGGUCACUCGUGGAUAAUUAUGCAAUUGUAUUGUAUUGGUGAAAUUAUUUGAGAGCAGGAGGAGGAAAUAAAGAAAUCAUACUCCUAAUCUUUUCAUCGAUUGAGCUAUGAUUAAUUUAGAGGACUAAAUUUUCUUUUAAGGGGGGGAGAGUGUAAUAUCCCUCACUUUUGAAAAUUAUUAAUAAAGAUUUAUUUAUAAAUCGGAGGACCUAUAUGUAAAUAUGGAAAUUUUAAGGACUAAACUGUUAAGUUGUAAAAAGAAGAAAAUAAAUAAAACCGAAAAUUUCGGUUUUAUCCCACCGCCUCCCACGCUCUCUCUGUUUCUUCGAGAAACAGAGAGAAGCGGUGGGGCGUGGGGAGAAGAAGAAGAGAAGUAGAGGGAGAAGAAGAAGAGGGAAAAGAAGAGAGGAAGAAGAGGGAGAAGAGAAGAAAAAGAAGAAGUAGAAGAGAGGGAAGAUGGAGAGGAGGAAGAGAGGCAGCUGCAGCAGCUAGGGCUGCAGCACCUCUGUUUUCCGCAGGUGGAAACAGAGGAGAGGAUGUGUGGGGCGUUGAGGAAGAAGAAGAAGAAGAAGAAGAAGAAGAAGAAGAAGAAGAAGAAGAAGAAGAGAGGAGGAUAGCUGCGGCAAGGCUGCAGCGAGGAGGUGUGUGGCCUUGGGGAGGAAAAGGGAAAGAGGAGAAGAAGAGAAGGAGAAGAAGAGGGAAAAGAGAGGGAAGAGGGAGAGGAGCGAAAGGUGGCAGCAGCUAGGGCUGCAGCACCUCUGUUUCCUGCAGGUGGAAACAGAGGAGAGGUGUGGGGCGUUCGAAGAGGAGAAGAAGAAGAAGAGGAAGAGAAGAAGAAGAGGAAGCAGGAGAAGAGGUUGUGAUGCCUCUGUUCCUGCAGAGGAAACAGAGGAGAGGGUGUGUGUGACGCCGGGGAGGAGGAGGGAAGAAGAAGAGGAGAAGAAGAGAAGGGAAAGGAGGAGCUGCGGCUGCGGCGGUGGCAGCUGCGGCUGGAAGAGAAGGAGAAGAAGAGAAGGUGAGGAAGAAGAGAAGAAGAAGAAAGGAAGGAGAAGGAGAAGAAGAGGGAAAAGAGAGGGAAGAGGGAGAGGAGCGAGAGGUGGCUGCAGCACCUCUGUUUCCUGCAGGUGGAAACAGAGGAGAGGUGUGGGGCGUUCGAAGAGGAGAAGGGAAAGAAGUAGCUGCGGCUGCGGCAGUGGCAGCUGCAGCUAUGGCAGGGAAAGAGGAAGAGAAAGGAAGAAGGGAAGGAGAGGAAGAAGAGAAGGGAAAGAAGGGGCUGCGGCUGCGGCGAUGGCAGCUGCAGUUGGAAGAGAAGAAGGAGAGGAAGAUGAGCAGGGGAGGAAGAAGAGGUUGUGGCCGCGGCUGAGGCUGCGACUGCAGCAGUGCAGCUGGGAAAGAAGAGAAGGAAAGGAAGAAGAAAAGAAAGGAAAAGGGAAGAAGAGAGGAAGAGGAGAAGGAGAGGCAGCUGUGGCAGUGGCAGCUGCAGCUGGAAGAGAAGGAGAGGAAAUAGAGCAGGGGAGAAAGAAGAGGCUGCGGCUGUGGUGGCUGCGGCCAUGGUUGCGACGGCGGCAGUUGCAGCUGGGAAAGAAAAGAAAGGAAAGGGGGAAAAAGGGGCUGCGGACGGGAUUGCGGCCGCAGCGGCAGCGACUGCGUAUACAGCAGUUAUGUCUGCGAGAGAAGGGAGGAAGGAAGGUAGUGCGGUGGAAGGGGCUGCGAUUGUGGCAGCGGCAGUGGCGACGGCUGUGGCAGCUGCGUUUGGGAAAGAAAAAGAAGGAAUGAGAGUACUAGAGAGCAGGUGACUGUGCCUCGAUGUUCGACAUGUGGGGUAGUUGCGAAGAAAGGAAGAAAACGAGAGCACAAAACGAAACAGAGAGAGGACACGGAGGAAAAGUAGAAGGAUUUGAGCUGGCACCUUCUUUGGAUCUUCGGAUCGAAAUCUUUGAAAGGUCAGCUUGUCACUCUUCGAGAUGUUGAUUUGGGCUGAGGCAAUGGAUAGCUAUUCAGAAUUAUGGGCAAGUCUGGGUGGUUAUUAUGAUAUUGUUGUAUAAGUAUGUUUUGUAUGUAAUGAAAUGUUGUCGAUGAAUCGAAAUGGAUAUACUGUGUAAAAGUGUUAGAAGAUCUCUCUUAUUUGGAAUUUCGGAAUGUUAAGUCUAAUUUAUGACGAUAUGAACUUGUGGUGAAUAGUUGGAGUUCUGAUUGUAUAAUUUAUUUAGCUUGUGGAUUUAUAAAUGUUGUUCAUGUUUGUCAAGUUGGCUUGGGUUGCUAUAAAUGUGAAUUAUCGAGUGAUGUGAUA